AUUGAACGCUGGCGGCAGGCCUAACACAUGCAAGUCGAGCGAGCGGCGGACGGGUGAGUAAUGUAUGGGGAACUGCCUGAUGGCGGGGGAUCACUACUGGCAACGGUGGCUAAUACCGCAUACUCUCGGAUGUACCCACAUGGGAUUAGCUAGUAGGUGGGGUAAAGGCUCACCUAGGCGACGAUCGCUAGCUGGUCUGAGAGGAUGAGCAGCCACACUGGGACUGAGACACGGCCCAGACUCCUACGGGAGGCAGCAGUGGGGAAUAUUGCACAAUGGGCGCAAGCCUGAUGCAGCCAUGCCGCGGUGGUGAAGAAGGCCUUAGGGUUGUAAAGUACUUUCAGCGAGGAGGCGUUACCCGCAGAAGAAGCACCGGCUAACUCCGUGCCAGCAGCCGCGGUAAUUC
rnacentral:rRNA from 1 species